UGGGGAAUAUUGGACAAUGGGGGGAACCCUGAUCCAGCCAUGCCGCGUGUGUGAAGAAGGCCUUAUGGUUGUAAAGCACUUUAAGCGAGGAGGAGGGUACUGGUAUUAAUACUACCAGGUACUGGACGUUACUCGCAGAAUAAGCACCGGCUAACUCUGUGCCAGCAGCCGCGGUAAUACGGAGGGUGCGAGCGCUAAUCGGAUUUACUGGGCGUAAAGCGUGCGUAGGCGGCUAAUUGAGUCGGAUGUGAAAUCCCCGAGCUUAACUUGGGAAUUGCAUUCGAUACUGGUUAGGUAGGGUGUGGGAGAGGAUGGUAGAAUUCCAGGUGUAGCGGUGAAAUGCGUAGGGAUCUGGGGGAAUACCGAUUGCGGAGGCAGCCAUCUGGCCUGACACUGACGCUGAGGUGCGAAAACGUGGGGGGCAAACAGG
rnacentral:rRNA from 1 species